CGUGGGUAACCUGCCCAAGAGAUCGGGAUAACACCUGGAAACAGAUGCUAAUACCGGAUAACAACAGAUGAUGCCUAUCAACUGUUUAAAAGAUGGUUCUGCUAUCACUCUUGGAUGGACCUGCGGUGCAUUAGCUAGUUGGUAGGGUAACGGCCUACCAAGGCGAUGAUGCAUAGCCGAGUUGAGAGACUGAUCGGCCACAUUGGGACUGAGAUACGGCCCAAACUCCUACGGGAGGCAGCAGUC
rnacentral:rRNA from 1 species